GCCUUGACACUAGGAGUCGAUGAAGGACGGGACUAACGCCGAUAUGCUUCGGGGAGCUGUAAGUAAGCUUUGAUCCGAAGAUUUCCGAAUGGGGAAACCCACCAUACGUAAUGGUAUGGUAUCCUUACCUGAAUACAUAGGGUAAGGAAGACAGACCCAGGGAACUGAAACAUCUAAGUACCUGGAGGAAGAGAAAGCAAAUGCGAUUUCCUGAGUAGCGGCGAGCGAAACGGAAUCUAGCCCAAACCAAGAGGC
rnacentral:rRNA from 1 species